rnacentral:rRNA from 1 species
UAGCGGAGGAAAAGAAACCAACAGGGAUUGCCUUAGUAGCGGCGAGUGAAGCGGCAAAAGCUCAAAUUUGAAAUCUGGCACUUUCAGUGUCCGAGUUGUAAUUUGAAGAAGGUAUCUUUGGGUCUGGCUCUUGUCUAUGUUUCUUGGAACAGAACGUCACAGAGGGUGAGAAUCCCGUGCGAUGAGAUGUCCCAGACCUAUGUAAAGUUCCUUCGAAGAGUCGAGUUGUUUGGGAAUGCAGCUCUAAGUGGGUGGUAAAUUCCAUCUAAAGCUAAAUAUUGGCGAGAGACCGAUAGCGAACAAGUACAGUGAUGGAAAGAUGAAAAGAACUUUGAAAAGAGAGUGAAAAAGUACGUGAAAUUGUUGAAAGGGAAGGGCUUGAGAUCAGACUUGGUAUUUUGUAUGUUACUCUCUCGGGGGUGGCCUCUACAGUUUACCGGGCCAGCAUCAGUUUGAGCGGUAGGAUAAGUGCAAAGAAAUGUGGCACUGCUUCGGUAGUGUGUUAUAGUCUUUGUCGAUACUGCCAGCUUAGACUGAGGACUGCGGCUUCGGCCUAGGAUGUUGGCAUAAUGAUCUUAAGUCGCCCGUCU